UUUUUUUUUGUUCUUUUUAUUUAUUUUCUUUUCUGUUUUAAAUCAUUUUAAAUUAUCUAGGCAUUUUAUAAAAAUGUGUUUAUUACACCAUAUUUACUUAAGCAAAAUAUGGCACCGUCCGAACAUUUUUGUUUAAUAUUUUGAAAGCUUUUGUCGUUUGACUUAGUUAGGAUUUAAAUUUGAAUUGGUUUCGAAUUAACCCGAGAUUAACUACAGUGACAGAGGUGACGUGUCACCAUUAACGUGAGAUUACUGUAACAUGAUUAUCCGGGCGUCACACCUGCCGAGUUAUGCUGAUGCCCCUUGGUGUUGCCGUUCUUCUUCCCUUUCCCCGGUUUGUCCUCCUCUAACCCAGGGUCUUUGGUAUUAUCUGAAUCGGCAUAUUUAACUAAAGCGGCCAUAAGCGUUGCCAUAUCUUUGCAGUGACAUUUGAGCCUUCCUAACUUCUGUUUUAGCGAUAGAAACCGGCAAUUGCCUUCCAAUGUUAACAUUGUUGUGUCCGCAUUGAUGCGAUCCGAUGAAUGCAGAAUAGCUGAGACCCGCUUCACCCAAUGGGUUGUAGACUCCCCAUCCUCUUGAACACAAGCGGCCAGGUCCACAAUCGACAUAGGCUGCUUACAAGUAUCCUUAAAAUUCUGGAUAAACCGGUGUUUUAACUCGGCCCAUGAUCCGACAGAGUUAACUGCUAAGCUCUUUAACCAAGUACGAGUUGUCCCCUCCAACAUCAUGGUGAAGUAUUUAGCGCACACUGCUUCAUCCACAUCCAACAUCUCCAUUGCCAUCUCAUAACUUUCAACCCAUGACUCUAGUUGCAAAUCGGCGGUGUAAUUGGGCACCUUAUGAGGGCCUUUAAAAUCCUUGGGCAGUCACACAUUACGUAAAGCGGGGGUGAGACAUGGCACCCCUAAGGAACUAAAGACCACACCUGGCUCCACUAAAGUGGUAGGGUGAACCGGAGUAGGUUGACGAGCUUCAUGCAGAGCUGCUAAAUCGGCCUCUCGACGUGCACGACCAUGAUCCACCACAUCCUGCGCAUUAGCACCUCCACCAGCCGGGUUGUGCCCUCGCGGCGAGUUACGGCGACGUGCACUGCUUGAUACGGCCGGUUCAUCCUCAACAUGUCCGUUGUAGCUCCGGCUCGGGCGGGGGGGUGGAAUGAAUCCUCUCGUAACUAUGUGAAUAAGCCUGCUGCUGGUUUAAAGCUGUUUGAAGGGGCUCUCUAGCCCGUCGUGCCUCAAUCGCAACUGGUGACUUGCCAUCGGUUGGGAGGGCUGCCAAUCGUGAAGCGGCGGCCACAAUGUUGUCCAACGGGUUGGAGUAAUGCCCUGAGGGCGUCGGAACAUACUGCGGCACAAUGUUGUUUUGACGAGGCGGGUCCAUCAUGCGCGGCUGAACCGGCGCUCCUGUUCCCGGCGCCUCCGUCCAGUUUAACAUUGGCUGGUUACUAGUUCCUGCUCCUGGCGUGUUGAAGAGAUUUCUUGGCUCAUAACCCGGCAGGAGAUGCGACCGGUAUCUUCUUCUCAUGACUUCAUCUGAGGCAUUCUGAUCCAGCCGAAGCCGGUAAGCCUGCGCUUCCAACUCGGCCUGUUCUGUAGCCAUCUUAGCAUUCUCUGCCGCUAGGUCUGCUUUAGCCUGAGUUAUCUGAUCUUUCACCUUUGCAAUCUCCGCAUUGUGCUGAUCCCGGGCUGCUGCGUCUGAUACGUCUCCGUCGUAUCUACUUUUCCAAACACUUUUGCCCUUGUUUUGGACUCUAACUUGUAUGAUUUGAAUGGAACUAACCCGGACUGACGCUGUUUUCAGCAGAAUUGCCAUGAUGUUGUUUUAUGUGCAGAAAACAAAUAUUCUCGAAAUGACCUGAAACUCCACGGAACAUCUUAGAAAAAAUAAUAAAAAAUCCUCGCCAAAGAUGAAGACCAGGGGGCCCACACCCUGUCCACGAGGGUGCCCCCCCUAGGGUGCACCCCCCUACCUCGUGGGCCCCCUGGAUGCCCUCCGACGCCAACUCCAACUCUAUAUAUUUGCUUUCUGAGAGAGAAAAAUAGAGAGAAGAAAUCAUCGCGUUUUACGAUAUAGAGCCGCCGCCAAGCCCUAAAACCUCUCGGGAGGGCUGAUCUGGAGUCCGUUCGGGGCUUCGGAGAGGGGGAUUCGUCGCCGUCGUCAUCAUCAACCAUCCUCCAUCACCAAUUUCAUGAUGCUCACGUCCGUGCGUGAGUAAUUCCAUCGUAGGCUUGCUGGACGGUGAUGGGUUGGAUGAGAUUUAUCAUGUAAUCGAGUUAGUUUUGUUAGGGUUUGAUCCCUAGUAUCCACUAUGUUCUGAGAUUGAUGUUGCUAUGACUUUGCUAUGCUUAAUGCUUGUCACUAGGGCCCGAGUGCCAUGAUUUCAGAUCUGAACCUAUUAUGUUUUCAUGAAUAUAUGUGAGUUCUUGAUCCUAUCUUGCAAGUCUAUAGUCACCUACUAUGUGUUAUGAUCCCGCAACCCCAAAGUGACAAUAAUCGGGACCACUCCCGGUGAUGACCAUAGUUUGAGGAGUUCAUGUAUUCACUAUGUGCUAAUGCUUUGUUCCGGUUCUCUAUUAAAAGGAGGCCUUAAUAUCCCUUAGUUUCCAAUAGGACCCCGCUGCCACGGGAGGGUAGGACAAAAGAUGUCAUGCAAGUUCUUUUCCAUAAGCACGUAUGACUAUAUACGGAAUACAUGCCUACAUUACAUUGAUGAAUUGGAGCUAGUUCUGUGUCACCCUAUGUUAUGACUGUUACAUGAUGAACCGCAUCCGGCAUAAUUAUCCAUCAUUUAUCUAGUGCCUACGAGUUUUCCAUAUACUGGUUUAUGCGUAUUUACUUUCCCGCUGCUACUGUUACAAUCACUACAAAAUACCAAAAACAUUACUUUUGCUGUCUUUACUUUUGUUUCCGCUACCACCACUAUCAUAUUACUUUGCUACUAAACACUUUGCUGCAGAUACUAAGUUUCCAGGUGUGGUUGAAUUGACAACUCAGCUGCUAAUACUUGAGAAUAUUCUUUGGCUCCCCUUGUGUCGAAUCAAUAAAUUUGGGUUGAAUACUCUACCCUCAAAAGCUAUUGCGAUCCCCUAUACUUGUGGGUUAUCAAGACCAAUUUCUGGCACCGUUGCCGGGGAGCAUAGCUCUAUUCUUUGAGUCACUUGGGAUUUAUAUCUGCUGGACACUAUGAAGAACUUGAGAGAUCCAAAAACCAAUAUAUCCCUCAACUACGAGGGGAGGUAAGGAACUGCCAUCUAGCUCUGCACUUGAUUCACCUUCUGUUAUGAGUAAGUUUGCGACACCUACACCUGCUUCUGCUAUUCGUUCCGAUAUGUUGCAUGUUAUUGAUGAUGCCACUUCUACUAUGCAUGAUACUUAUGAUGAAAUUGCUUCUAUGCCUGAUACUACUGUGCCCCUUGGUGAAUUUCUUGAUGAACAAAUUGCUAGGGCUAGAGAAAAAGAAAUUAUUGAAUCUGAAUAUGAUGAUGAAAGUGAUGAUGAAAAUAUGCCUGCUAUUCCCGAGGGAUAUCUUUUUGAUAUGGAAUCUUCUGCCGCUAUUUUAGCUUGCAAAGAUAGAUAUGAGCUUAAGAGGUUCUUAGUUAAAUUGAACAAAGAAUCACUUAGAGAUAAAAUGAAACCUGACCCUGCUUUUGCUACUUCACCUAUAUGUGUUCCUGAUAAAGAUUAUGAAUUCUCUGUUGAUCCUGAUAUAAUUACUUUGGUGGAAUCUGAUCUGUUUUAUGGCUAUGAAUCUGAAACUAUUGUGGCACAUCUUACUAAGUUAAAUGAUAUAGCUGCCCUAUUCACUAAUGAUGAGAGAUCGCGUUACUUCCAUAUACUCAAAUUAUUCCCGUACUCAUUAAAGGGUGAUGCUAAGGUAUGGUUUAACUCUCUUGAUCUUGGUUGUGUGUGUAGUCCCCAGGAUAUGAUUUAUUACUUCUCUGCUAAAUAUUUCCCUGCUCAUAAGAAACAAGCUGCUUUGAGGGAAAUAUACAACUUCGUGCAAAUUAAAGAAGAGAGUCUCCCACAAGCUUGGGGGGGCUUCUCAAGUUACUUAAUGCUUUUCCUGAUCAUCCUCUUAAGAAACCCGAAAUACUUUAUAUCUUUUAUAAUGGACUAACCGAUGCUUCCAGAGAUGACCUGGAUAGUUGUGCUAGUUCUCUUUUCAGGGAAAGAACACCGGUUGAAGCUGAAAUUCUAUUGAAUAAUAUGUUGACAAAUGAAAAUAAUUGGGCACCUCCUGAGCCAACUCCUGCUCCAAUUACUGAGCCUAUUCUUAAAACAACUCCAAAGAAGAGAGGUGUUCUAUUCCUCAGUCCCGAAGAUAUGCAAGAGGCAAAGAAAUCUAUGAAAGAAAAAGGUAUUAAAGCUGAAGAUGUUAAGAAUUUACCUCCUAUUGAAGAAAUACAUGGUCUUAAUAUACCGCCUGUUGAAGAAACAUAUGAUCUCAAUUCUUUAUUUACUGAAGAACCUCCUGAUCCCGAUAUCCCGACACGGGUAGUAAAGGUAAAUUCUCUCUAUAGAUAUGAUAAAGCUGAAGUCCCUCCUACUAAAAUUGCUAGUCAGUGCUUGGAUGAGUUUGAUAACUUUAUGUUUAAGCAAGACGACUUCAAUGCUUAUUUUGGUAGACAAUUAUAAGAAAAUGCUUACAUGAUUAGACGCUUGGGUGAUUAUAUGGCUAAUAUUAAAGGUGAACUUAAACUUGUUAGCAAACAUGCUUCUAUGGUUACCACUCAAGUAGAACAAGUACUUAAGGCUCAAAAAGAAGUGCUUGAUGAAAUGAAUAGUAAGAAAAAUGAUUAUGCUGUUAGAGUGGCUACUAGAACUGGUAGAAUGACUCAGGAACCUUUGUAUCCUGAAGGCCACCCUAAGAGAAUCGAGCAAGAUUCUCAAAGAAAUGAUAUUGAUGUUCCUAGUUCUUCUAAAAAGAAGAGAAGAAAAACGAUAGAACUGUGCAAACUUCUAGUGAACCUAUUGCUGAACCACCUGAUAAUCCAAAUGAUAUCUCUAUGUCUGAUGAUGAAACAAAAUUUGGUAAUGAAAAUGAACCUAAUGAAAAUAUUAAUGAUGAUGUUCAUGAUGAUGCUCAACCUAGUAAUGACAAUGAUGUAGAAAUUGAACCUGUUGUUGAUCUUGAUAACCCACAAUCAAAGAAUCAACGUAAUGAUAAAAGAGACUUUGUUGCUAGGAAACAUGGUAAAGAAAGGGAACCUUGGGUUAAGAAACCCAUGCCUUUUCCUCCAAAACCAUCCAAGAAAAAGGAUGAUGAGGAUUUUGAGCGCUUUGCUGAAAUGAUUAGGCCUAUCUUUUUGCGUAUGCGAUUAACUGAUGUGCUCAAAACGAAUCCUUAUGCUAAAUAUAUGAAGGAUAUCAUUACUAAUAAAAGAAAGAUACCGGAAGCUGAAAUUUCCACCAUGCUUGCUAAUUAUACUUUUAAGGGUGGAAUACCAAAGAAACUUGGAGACCCCAGAGUACCUACUAUACCUUGCUCCAUUAACAGAAAUUAUAUUAAAACUGCUUUAUGUGAUCUUGGAGCCGGUGUUAGUGUUAUGCCUCUCUCUUUAUAUCAUAGACUUGACUUGAAUAAGCUGACACCUACUGAAAUAUCUUUGCAAAUGGCUGAUAAAUCAACUACUAUACCUGUCGGUAUCUGUGAGGAUGUGCCUGUUGUGGUUGCAAACGUUACUAUUUUAACGGACUUUGUUAUUCUUGAUAUUCCCGAGGAUGAUAGUAUGUCUAUUAUUCUUGGAAGACCUUUUCCUAAUACUGCAGGGGCUGUUAUUGAUUGCAACAAAGGCAAUGUUACUUUUCGUGUUAAUGGUAAUGAUCAUACGGUACACUUUCCGAGGAAACAACCUCAAGUUCAUAGUAUCAACUCCAUUGGAAAAAUUCCAUCGAUUAUAUUUGGAGGUUUUGAAUUUCCUCUUCCUACUGUCAAGAAGAAAUAUGAUAUACUUAUUAUUGGGGAUGUGUGUAUCCCCGUUGAGGUAACGUAGUGUUAUUCGAAAUUUCUCUGGUUUCAUGUUAAUCGGAAUGAGUUUGUUAACAAGACUUGAUCAACCUUGUUAGUGGAUUCCUUUUGAUGAGCAUGAGAUGGAUGAAACUAGAAGCACCACCUUAUGUACCUUCUCUUUAUUUUCUGUUAAUUAGUAGAAAUAAAGUAAAAAAUAGUAUUUUUCUGUCUGUUUCUUGACUUAUCCGUGCAAUAUAAAAAUAUCUCAAAAAUAAAAGUCCUUAGAAUGACAUGCCAAUUUAAUAUGAUUUUUUUGGGAAUAUUUGAGGAUUUACUGUGCAAAAAUUACCGCGGGAGGAGCUGCCACCUGGCCACGAGGGUGGUGGGCGCGCCCCCCCUCUAGGGCGUGCCCCCUUGCCUCGUGGGCCCAAGGUGGCCCUCCUCCACUUAUCCCAGCACCCAUCUUCUUCCUCUGUCUCACUAACCCAAGAAACCAACUCAAGCACGAGUUUCAGCCACUUUUGCUGUGAUUUUCGAUCUCCUUGCUCAAAGCACCUCUCGCAAAACUGCUUGGGGAGAUUGUUCCUUGGUAUGUGACUCCUCCAUUGGUCCAAUUAGUUUUUGUUCUAGUGCUUUAUUCUUUGCAAAUUUUUGCUGCUUAGGUGACCCUGUUCUUGAGCUUGCAUGUCAAAUUUAUAUGGUCAAAGGUAGUUUUGAUGCAUGAUAUAGGCCCUAGGCACUUGUAGGAGUAGUUGCUAUCAAUAUUAUUGAGUUUGGUUUACUUUUAUUUUGAAGUUACUAAAAAUUUCAGAAUUUUUCAGAAAAUGAUGAGGAGAUUAUUGAGGGGCUCAUCGAGCCAAAGCUCAAAGGAAAAGGCACUGAGGCCUAAGUAUAAUUUGCCGCGCACCACGGAGAUUCGGGCGUGUGAAUGGCCUUCUGAUAAUUUCUUGAGAGCAGCCAGUAUCUAUGAAGAUUUUCAUGAAUUGGCUCACAAUGCAGGCCUCACCAUUUUCCUCCACAACCAAUGCGAUCAGUAUCUCUUACUCACAAAUACCUUUGUGCAAAACUUUCAUUUUCAUUCUAGGAACUCACCACCUACGGUGGAGUUUCAUUUAUAUGAUGAGCAUAAGGAGAUGUCACUUUAUGAUUUUUGUCGGAUUUGUUUAGUCCCUUUUGAGGGCAAGACAGAAGAACCACAUCAUGAUGAUGUGGCUGGGUUUAUUGAUACUAUCACUGUAGGAGAAACUAGGAAGGUUUCCGAUGCACGAAUCACUAGCAUACAUUUUCCUGUUUUACGUUACUUUGCAUUAUUUGCUAGUCAUUGUUUAAUUGGACGCGAAAACUGUGGAAACCUUAGUAUCCCUGAUAUAAUUAUUCUGCUCCACGGUUUAUACAGUGAUAACACUUUUAGUAUGGGCGGUAUUAUUGCUAGACGGUUAAGUAUGAACCAUACCAAAGGCCCCAUCUUUGGAGGCAUCUAUGCUACACGCCUAGCCGUACAUUUUAAUAUACCUAUUAGGCAUGCUGAGAAGGAAGAAAAAGUGUUGCCCCGUGUUUAUCUAGAUCAUAAAAGUAUGGUGGCACAUGAUUUUAUUGUUAAGAAUAGGGCAGCGGAGCUUAAAUAUCAAUUGUUCUUUAACAAACAUCAUCCUGAGACUAUUAUCCUCCCUGCUCCUUCUUUGUUUGAUUUGACUGUAGGCACGUACCUUGUUCCGUUGACGGCUAUUCACGCCUACCGGAACCCUGCACCAGCCGAGGAGCCAGAACCGGAACCACAAUUUGAUCCUUCACGGCAGUCUAACUAUCAGUGGGAUCCGGAGAUGAUUGCCAGCCAGUGGCAAUCGGAGCCAUCUUCUUCCUCAUCACAGUACGACCCCAACAACUAUUAUUAUGGAUAUCAGCCAGGCCAGUCGUGGCAAUAGACCAACUUAGGCCAAAAGCCUAAGCUUGGGGGAGUAUGUAUUUCUCACCAUCAUUACAUUUAUGUUCACACACACUCGUUGCUAGAUGUCGGUGCUCAUACUUUUUCUCUGUAAUAUCCAUGCUAGUUUAGUUUCCUUUUCCUGCUUUCUUCUUGUGUGUUUGUUAAACCUUAACAAAAACAAAAAAAUAGUAGUAGUUUAUUUUUCUGCUGUAGUAGUAAUAAUUAAAAAGAAAACCCAAAAAUAUUUCCCGUUCUUCUUUUGCUUGUUGGGAGCUUUCCCGUGUAAAUAGUUUUAUUUCUUUUCUUUUCUUUGGGGGUCAGUAGGAGAAGACCAUAAUUAAAUUGUUGAAGUGGCUCUUAUAUGCAUUAUUGUUGAUUUAACCAACAGCCCAUAUUGCCUUGUCUUCUCCUGUUUAUUGAAUGCUCGCAGAUUCCAGCUUAGUCCAAUGCACGUACACUCUUAUUAUUAUUCACACCGUUCGGUCGUGCAAGUGAAAGGCAAUUAUGAUGAUAUAUGAUGGACUGACUGAGAUGAGAAAAGCUGGUAUGAACUCGACCUCUUUUGUUUUUGUAAAUAUGAUGAGUCCCUCGUUCUUGAUUCAGCUUAUUAUGAAUAAACAUGUUUGCAAUGACAAUUAGAGAUCGUAGCUGCUUGUGCCAUGCUUGAUUAGCUAUGAGUUAUAAUAAUUUACCUUGUGUGUCAACAUGCUAUUGCGAUGAUUAUGAUGUGGUAUGAUGGGGUGGUAUCCUCCUUUGAAUGAUUUAAGUGACUUGACUUGGCACAUGUUCACGCAUGAAAUUGAAACAAAAUCAACAUAGCCUUCACGAUAUUUAUGUUCAUGGUGGAUUAUAUCCUACUCAUGCUUGCAUCCAAUGUUUAUUAAUUUUAAUGCAUGUACAUGGUUGUUGUCGCUCUCUAGUUGGUCGCUUCCCAGUCUUUUGCUAGCCUUCACUUAUACUAAGCGGGAAUAUUGCUUGUGCACCCAAUCCCUUAAACCCCAAAGUUAUUCCAGAUGAGUCCACUAUACCUUCCUAUAUGCGGUAUCUACCUGCCGUUCCAAGUAAAUUUGUAUGUGCCAAACUCUAAACCUUCAAAUAAACAUUCUGUUUUGUAUGCUCGAAUAGCUCAUGUAUCAACCAAGGCUGUCCUUAUCUUCCGUGUUAGGCGGGUUAUUCUCAAGAGGAGUGGACUCUGCUCCUCACUCACGAGAAAAUGGCUGGUCACCGGGAUGCCCAAUCCCAUGCUUUAUGCAAACUAAAUCAAAAUUAAUUGCAAACAAAACUCCCCCUGGGACCUGAUGUAUGUUGGAGGCACUCGUUGUUUCGAGCAAGCCAUUGAUUGAUGCUUGUUGGUGGAGGGGGAGUAUAAACUUUACCAUUCUGUUUGGGAACCGCCUAUAAUGUGUUUAGCAUGGAAGAUAUCGACAUCUCUUAGUUGCUACGUUGACAAUGAAAGUAUACCGCUCAAAAUACAAUUUAUCUCUAUUGCAAAACCGAGCUCUGGCACUGACGUGGUUCUAAGUCUGACAGUAAUGUAGGGGGUAGGCAUGGAGAGGCAAGAUCUUAGCUAUGGAGUAGUUGUAAGCACAUGAGGUUUACGAGUUCAGGCCCUUCUCGGAGGAAGUAAUAGCCCUAUGUCCCGGAGCCCGGAGGUGGUCGACUGGAUUAUGCGUGUAUGAAUUAUAGGGGUGCGAACCCUUUACACUGAGGAGGGGGUGGCUUACAUAGAGUUCGCCGGACCCCUCCGGCCCUCAGUUAUGCAGGGUUUUAAAUACAUUAAGUUCGGGCGUUACUGGUAACACCCCUAAUAAAGUGCUAUGAUGACCAUAAAAGCUACUUAACGAUCGACCGUUAGCGUGUGGAGUGACUUUAGGUCUCCUGGCCGUCGAGUGGUUGGAUCUUGGUCGAGUGAUUGCUUCUUGGUCGAGUGUCUUCGAGUCUGUCGAGUGGAACACCUCCAAGUCGAUUGAAAGGUGAUUUCUUCUAGAGAUGUCCUUGGGUAGGGCAGUUGGGACAGGUCCAUGACCCUACCCUAGGUACAUAGCUUCAUCAUUAGCCCCCGAAUGGAUCGAGGUUUGAGUGGGGAAGGAGUUGAGAACUUCUCGGACUCAUUUUUCAUGCCAUGAGAAUAUCUUGUUUCGGAUCAAUGAACCUGAGUGAUGACAACAACUUCCUUUUCAGUCGCCUUGAUCCAUUCUUAGUUUUUUGUCGAGUGAGUUUCUUUACUUGAAAAGCUCCGAGUGACGGUGUGGAGGAGAUCUUCCGUUUGACAAGUUGUUCUGAUGCCCACAGAUUUCGCGGGAUUCGAAUUUUGGGAAGCGCGCGGGACGAGGGAGGCCGCAGUAAUCAGAUGGGAUAGGGCGGAGCUGCCUCGAUCUCCGCGCCACCUUUUUCGCCACGUAUCACGCGCACGAUUAUUACGGGAUUUGACAGGACCGUCCGGGCCUACCAGUCAGCCACUCGAAAGCGACCUCAUAUAAGGCGUCGGACCGGGGUUUCUUGAACAGUGCGUUCUCAUUUCCUCUUCUCCUCUUCAGGCUUCUUCGUCGCGCUCGCUCUCACCCCAGUGCUGCCGCUCCGUACGCGUCUCGCCAGCGACGAUGGGGAAGGAGAAGAUGGCGGCUCUGGAGCGGGCGAAGAAGGCGACGGCAAAGGCGAAGGGGAAGGCGACCAGUCGGGGUGGAUCUUCCUCGCGAGCCGGCCUGCCGAAGGGCUGGAUCCAGGGCGACUGGAUCCGCUCAGCGAUCCGCCAAGAAGACCUCAACGACCUAGCCGACGGAGGGCUGAUCCCCCAUGGAUCGGCGCAGCUUCCGGGGAAGGAAUCCGAGCCGCAACCUCGGGAGGGUGAGCGCGUUCUCCUUGCCACCCACGUCGACCGUGGAUUUUCCUUGCCUCCUCACCCUUUCUUUCGGGGAUUUCUGAAUUUCUUUGGGGCACAACUCCACCACUUCACUCCCAACACAAUCGUGUAUCUCACUGCUUUCGUGUCUUUGUGCGAGAAUUUCUUGGGUUGUCGGCCUCACUGGGGUCUUUUCAAGCACAUUUUCACCUGUCGUUCUCAGACGGUGAAAAAGGCCAAUCCGAGUGACAAGAGAACACAAGUGAUUCAGAUGUGCGGGGGUCUUGGUGUUCAGAUGAGAGGGUAAAGUUCCUUUCCAGCCAUGAUUCUUCCCGACUCGGUUCGCGGGUGGCAGUCGACCUGGUUUUACUGCAAAGACCAGCCGACGCCAGGGCAGUCAACUGGCCUCCCUCCUUUUACCAUGGAUCGAGUGAGGAAACCCUCCUCUUUGAAGGUGCUCCCGGAGAAGAAGGCGCAGGUUAGGGUGCUGGUCGAACGAGUGGUCCAGCUUAUCCGUGACGGGGUCACCGGUAUGGAUCUCUUAGAGGUUUUCCUUCGGCGGCGCAUCCAGCCUCUUCAAGCCCGAGACCAUUAGAUGUGGAUGUAUUCGGGUCUUGACGACACCACUCGGAUUCACCCGGAGGAGGUCGAUGACGACACACUGGAGAAGUGGUUGUCGGGCAUAACCGGAAACAAGGACAACCCCAGGGGAGCCAGGAGAGUUCCUCCAUUCGACCAGUCCCAUGAACCAGAAAAGGUCCGAUUUUGAGCUUUUGAUUGUAAUCUGAAUUCAUUCACGCAGCUGUCUAUACUGCGUCGACUGACUUUAUUCUUCCUGCUUUCUUUCAGGCCCUUAUCGAAAUGUAUUCAAUGCCCAACGGAGAGCAAGAGCAAGACCUGGAAGGAGAGGCGAGCGGCGGCGACAGUGGUGAAUGGUACUCUGACAGUGAAGGGGAUGAAGAAAGCGACGACCCAAGUGACAAAGAGGAAGUCGAGUGGCCUCCUCGCGGGGAGAGGCGAUCCAAGGUUGACCAAGAACGACCGAGUGCCCGUGAAAAGGCGAUUGCUCAGGCUGGUCAGUCUUCAAAGCGUCCGCGGACCUCUUCGCCAACCCCAACUGAAAAAGCGUCAAAGCAUCCCAAAGUUGCAGAGCAGAAGCCUCGGAAGGCGUUGCCGAAGAUUAAGAUUGACAUCCCCGUCGCUUCUGCGUGAGUGUCUCCCUUUGUAUUCACUCGACGCCCCGUGCUGUUUGGUUUUUCUUGAUUUAACCAGACGAACUUUGGAACUGGCAGCGCUGCUACUUCCAGGACCUCAGCUUACAGGGACGAGGAUGAGGUGAUGGAGGAUACGGUCACUUCCAAUCUGGGUAUGAUUUCUGACAUUCUGUCUUUAUUUGGUCGACUCAACUGCAAUGUGUACCAUUGGGUGAUGUGAUUUUGGAGAUUGAUCUUUGAACAGCUCCUAACAUUAUUGACCUCCCCGAUGAUGAUGAUGAUGAAGAGCUUGAGAGGCCUUUAACAAGGAAAAAUAGGCAAGCUCCUGCAAGCAAGGUGCCACAGUCAACGCCGAGGGUGGAACCAGUCGUUCAGGACGCUGGUGAUGUCAAUCGGGGUUCUGUUACCUUCAUCAUACCAUUGUCGAGUGCCUUGCCUUCUUCGUCGACUGCUCAAGCCCCUGCCGACCCACCUUCAGUUUUUGCGACCCAUCAUGUCCCAGAGGACGAAGUGAAUGCUGCCAAGGAAGCCAUACGCCAGGCGGGCAUUAUGAUGGAGAAGAUGAAGACGGUGCGGGACGCCAGUCAGGCCGCCUACGACGCCAGCUCGGCUCUCCAAAGCAAUGUUCAGGUUAGUUGGUCACCACUUGUUCUGUUAGGAUAUGCUAUCCGAAGGCUCUCUUUCCGAAAAUCUUUGCAUCUGUACACCCACUGAGUGCGUCGAUUGAAUUUUUGAACUAGCGGGGGCACGCUGAGUGCACCCACUGGGUGUAGUCCCCGAGACUAUGGUGGACUGCUGGCAGUCGACUGUAGUCUUUGUAUUUUGAUUCUUUCACUCGAUCUGGUCUGGCCGCGUCGAGUGUAAACCGAACCGGUAGUUUGUCUCUUCUACUCGGUCUGGGCGAGUGGGAUCAGAACCGGUGGGGGCAAGCCAAGUGCACCCACUGGGUGUAGUCCCCGAGACCGCGGUCGACUGCUGGCAGUCGACUGUGGUCUGAGUUCUUCUUUCUCUCUUUUUUUUACUCCCUGCACUCGACUCCGGCAGGCCGGUCGAGUGUGAUCAGAACCGGUGGGGGCACGCAAAGUGCACCCACUGGGUGUAGUCCCCGAGACUAUGGUGGACUGCGGGCAGUCGACCGUAGUCUUAGUAUUUAUUGUCUUUGUUGUUUUUCGCUGUAAAAUAACUUCUCCUCCCUGAUUGCAGAAAUCUUGUGAUCUUGGAGCUCGCUUUGCUGACUUGGAGAAACAGCAGAUCCAACUAAACCUUGACUUGGAAUUGGCCAAGACAGGGCUACAAAAGGCCAAGGACGACGCCAAUGGUAAGACGAGCUUGUCGACUGGUUUGUCUUAGGCUUGAGUACCCUUCUGCUCUUUCUGAAUCAAGCACCAUUUCUUUGCAGAAAAACUGAGAGAAGCUCUGGCGAAGAAGGAUCAGGACUUGGCUGCUGCUCAGAAGGAAGCUGACGACAGAACCGCUCUGGCUGAACAGAAACUGGCUUCAGUCGGCCAAUUGGAAGAAGAGAACACCAAGAUGAAAUCUGCUCUGAACGAAGCCAACAAGGAGUGCAUGUGCUUGAAGAAGGACAAUCUCAACCUAUACGAGAAGAUGGAAGGCAUCGCUCGCAGGAGGGACGAUCUGGAGAGCUAUCUGAGGAGCCUUGCCAAGAAGUUGUUCAUCAAGCUUGAAGGUAUACAUUUUUUUGUCGACUCAGCAUACGAAAACUAACUUAUCCUCGGAUCAUGAAUGCAGAGUUUUGCCAGAACUUUGAGGAGGAGACUGGGCGGAUUGAGCCAGGUUUGGACCCCAUCAACUCUCCCGUGAAAGACGACACUGCCAUGAAUCUGCUCCGACUGGAAUCCCGCAUCGACGGUGUUGUGGACUAUUUGGCUCGACUGAAGGUCGCCACGUCACGGAUUGACACGGCACUUUGGCUGGGGGCCACACUCCAGAAUGAUCUCGAGUCCCUGAUCACUCGACUUAACGAGAUCCCUGGUCGAGUGCAGGAGUGGAAGAAAUCUUCUGCCCGGUGUGGUGCUGAUGUGGCUCUAUCUUUGGUUCAUGUCCACUGCAAGGAGGUGCGACAAGAUAAGCUGGCAGCAAUCAGGGUCGCCAACACCCAGAGGCAUGACUUCCGAUCUUUUAUGGAGACUUUUACUACUGCAGCCACCCGGAUCGCCGACGGCAUCGACCUGGACGACUUCGUCGAGCCUGCCAGUCCUCCUCCUGUGGAGUGAACAAACUUUUAUGCCCCACCUUAAAUUUGCCUCGGAAUGCCGAGUGGUUUUUGUAACCGUUAAACUCUUUCGGGCUGAAUGCCUGAGCACUUCGAUCUGUGGUCUGGACCCUUUAUGAUUUUAUCUGAACUUGGUUUAUCGUUGAAUAUCUUCAUGAAUUCUCCAUUGAGUGGAACUCGUUCUUCACUCGUGACAACUUUUUGUAUUUGUAGCGCAGCUCCGAAGGAGAAGGUAGCAGUCGACCUGCAUCUCGUCGUCCUUGCGGAGUAGGAUGGAGUGCAUGUUGUAGUUGUGGCAAAGCUCCCAAGGAGAAGGUGGCAGUCGACCUGCACCACGUCGUCCUUACGGAGUAGGAUGGAGCGCACGUUGUAUUUGUGGCGAAGCUCCCAAGGAGAAGGUGGCAGUCGACCUGCACCUCGUCGUCCUUGCGGAGUAGGAUGGAGUGCACGUUGUAUUUAUGGCGAAGCUCCCAAGGAGAAGGUGGUAGUCGAGCUGCACCUCGUCGUCCUUNNNNNNNNNNNNNNNNNNNNNNNNNNNNNNNNNNNNNNNNNNNNNNNNNNNNNNNNNNNNNNNNNNNNNNNNNNNNNNNNNNNNNNNNNNNNNNNNNNNNNNNNNNNNNNNNNNNNNNNNNNNNNNNNNNNNNNNNNNNNNNNNNNNNNNNNNNNNNNNNNNNNNNNNNNNNNNNNNNNNNNNNNNNNNNNNNNNNNNNNNNNNNNNNNNNNNNNNNNNNNNNNNNNNNNNNNNNNNNNNNNNNNNNNNNNNNNNNNNNNNNNNNNNNNNNNNNNNNNNNNNNNNNNNNNNNNNNNNNNNNNNNNNNNNNNNNNNNNNNNNNNNNNNNNNNNNNNNNNNNNNNNNNNNNNNNNNNNNNNNNNNNNNNNNNNNNNNNNNNNNNNNNNNNNNNNNNNNNNNNNNNNNNNNNNNNNNNNNNNNNNNNNNNNNNNNNNNNNNNNNNNNNNNNNNNNNNNNNNNNNNNNNNNNNNNNNNNNNNNNNNNNNNNNNNNNNNNNNNNNNNNNNNNNNNNNNNNNNNNNNNNNNNNNNNNNNNNNNNNNNNNNNNNNNNNNNNNNNNNNNNNNNNNNNNNNNNNNNNNNNNNNNNNNNNNNNNNNNNNNNNNNNNNNNNNNNNNNNNNNNNNNNNNNNNNNNNNNNNNNNNNNNNNNNNNNNNNNNNNNNNNNNNNNNNNNNNNNNNNNNNNNNNNNNNNNNNNNNNNNNNNNNNNNNNNNNNNNNNNNNNNNNNNNNNNNNNNNNNNNNNNNNNNNNNNNNNNNNNNNNNNNNGGGUCGCUCUCCACUCGGUAGGAUUUUUCGAACUUAGGCGAGUACUGGACUGCAGCUAAGCCCCCGAGUGAGAGGCUGGCUCACCACUCGGUAGGAUUUUCAAAUAAUUUGGCGAGUACUGGACUGCAGCUAAGCCCCCGAGUGAGAUGCUGGCUCACCACUCAGUAGGAUUUUCAAAUACUUAGGCGAGUACUGGACUGCAGCUAAGCCCCCGAGUGAGAGGCUAGCUCACCACUCGGUAGGAUUUUCAAACACUUAGGCGAAACGGGUUCGCAGCUAAGCCCCCGAGUGGGAGGCUGGCUCACCACUCAGUAGGAAAUUAUUUUACAAACUUAGGCGAAACGGAUUCAUAGCUAAGCUACCCACUGGGGGAUUUCUCACGCAAACAAAAACGAUAACAAUCGCUGGGAAAAUUACAACGCUCUUGUCUUUAAUAAAUAAACUACAGGAGUUUUUCUUAUUACAUCUCAUUCGAGUGAGAAUUCAAGUAUAAAAGGGGUGGAGCAGCUCCGCAUUCCAGGCUCGUGGCUCAUCAAUCUGGCGAUCGACAUUAUAAAGGAGAUACACUCCAUUGUGGAGGACUCUGGUGACUAUGAAGGGACCUUCCCAAGUAGGAGCGAGUUUGUGUGGUUUCUGCUGAUCCACUCGGAGGACCAAGUCUCCUUCUUGGAAGGCUCGACUCUUCACAUUUCUGGCAUGGAAUCAACGCAAGUCUUGCUGAUAGAUGGUCGAUCGGAUCAUGGCCAUUUCUCUUUCUUCUUCCAGGAGGUCGACUGCGUCCUACCGGGCUUGUUCUGCUUCAGCUUCAGAGUAGAGCUCGACUCGGGGUGCGUUGUGAAGCAGGUCACUCGGCAAAACUACUUUGGCUUCGUAGACCAGAAAGAAUGGGGUUCUUCCAGUCGAUCGGUUCAGGGUUGUCCUCAAUCCCCAAAGAACAAAUGGAAGCUCGUCGACCCAUGCACCUGCUGCGUGCUUGAGAUCGCGCAUCAGUCGGGGUUUCAGUCCUUUGAGAAUUAAGCCGUUUGAUCUUUCCGCUUGUCCAUUCGACUGGGGGUGAGUGACUGAAGCUUAGUCGACUCGUGUGCCUUGAGAGGCGCAAAAGGCUCUGAAUUUGUCAGAAUCGAAGUUUGACCCAUUGUCAGUGAUGAUGCUGUGCGGAACUCCAUAUCUGAAUAUCAACUCUCUGACGAAACUGAUAGCAGUGCAAGCAUCAAGAUUCUUGAUAGGCUUAGCUUCGAUCCAUUUGGUGAACUUGUCGACUGCCACUAGCACAUGAGUGAAACCGCUUCUGCCCGUUCUCAGUGGUCCAACCAUGUCCAGUCCCCAAACAGCAAAGGGCCAGACGAGUGGAAUGGUUUUCAGGGUUGACGCGGGUUUGUGCGACAUAUUGGAGUAAAACUGACAUCCUUCACAUUUGUCGACUAUCUCUUUCGCCAUUUCAUUCGCCCUUGGCCAGUAGAAUCCCGCUCGGUGUGCUUUAACCACAAUGGUCCGAGAGGGCGCAUGAUGACCAUAGGUCCCCGAGUGGAUAUCAUCAAGGAUUAUCUGACCUUCUUCUGGUGUUAUACACUUCUGACUGACUCCAGUCGCGCUUUCUCUAUACAAUUGUCCCUUUAUGACUGUAAAGGCCUUGGAUCGACGGACGAUCUGUUGAGCCUCUUCUUCGUCUUCUGGGAGUUCUUUCCUUAGGAUGUACACGAUGUACGGUACCGUCCAGUCGGGAGUGAUGACCAAAACUUCCAUGAUCAGGUCGACCACAGCUGGAACUUCAACUUCAAUCGGAUCCGUGGCACUUUUUGGCUGCGGGGCUUCUUCAGUGAAGGGAUCCUCCUGAACUGAUGGUGUGUGGAUGUGUUCCAAAAACACAUUGCUGGGGAUGGCUUCUCUUUUGGAACCUAUUUUCGCCAAAUCAUCAGCUGCUUGAUUUUUCAGUCGGGGUAUGUGAUGAAGUUCUAACCCCUCGAAUUUCUUCUCCAGCUUUCUCACUGCAUUGCAAUAACCAGUCAUGGCCGGACUUCUGACGUCCCACUCCUUCAUCACUUGAUUAACCACCAAAUCUGAGUCGCCAUAGACCAUGAGGCGAUGGACGCCGAGUGAAAUGGCCAUGCGCAACCCAUAUAAAAGUGCUUCAUAUUCUGCUUCGUUAUUGGAGGAAUCAAAGUGGAUUUGAAGAACAUAUCUGAGCUUAUCUCCUCGGGGGGAGACCAAUACUACCCCGGCACCAGAACCAUUCAGCAUUUUGGAACCGUCGAAGAACAUGGUCCAAUGCUCCGAGUAAACCUGAGUCGGCAGAUGUUGUUCAAUCCACUCGGCAACGAAAUCUGCUAUUGCUUGGGACUUGAUAGCUUUCUUUGCCUCAAACUUGAUAUCUAGAGGAAGGAGUUCAAUCGCCCAUUUUGCCACUCGACCAGUUGCAUCUCUGUUGUGCAGAAUCUCUGACAAUGGAGCGUCGCUGACAACUGUAAUGGAAUGGUCAGAGAAGUAAUGUGCAACCUUCUUCGUGGUCAUAUAAAUCCCAUAUACAAGCUUCGACGGGGUCAAGACUUCGGAAAUAUAAUAUACUGGGCGCUAAAAUCUGAAGGCUUUUCCUUCUUCUUCCCGCUCGACUGUAAGUACUGUACUGACGACUUGUCCCAUGGCUGCGAUGUAAAGCAGCAAAGGCUCUUUGCUGGUCGGGGCAGCAAGCACCGGCUGGGUGGAGAGCAGAGCUUUGAGCUCUACAAACGUUGCAUCAGCUUCAGGCGUCCACUCGAACUUGUCUGACUUCUUCAUCAAUCGGUAAAGAGGCAAUGCCUUUUCACCGAGAUGAGAGAUGAAUCGACUUAAAGCGGCCAAGCAACCAGUAAGCUUCUAGAUGUCGUGCACUCGCACAGGACUUUUCAUUCAGAGUAUAGUACCGACUUUUUCUGGAUUGAAGUUGAUUCCCCGUUCGGAAACGAGAAAACCGAGUAACUUUCCACCAGGAACUCCAAAUGUGCACUUUGAUGGAUUAAGCUUGAUAUCAUACCUCCUGAGGUUGGCGAAGGUUUCAGCAAGGUCAGUCAGCAGGUCGGAACCUUUCCGUGACUUGACCACAAUAUCAUCCAUGUAUGCUUCCACAUUCCGACUGAUUUGGGUGAGCAAACACUUCUGAAUCAUCCUCAUGAAUGUGGCUCCGGCAUUCUUGAGGCCGAACGGCAUGGUAACAUAACAGAAGCACCCGAAUGGAGUGAUGAAAGCUGUUUUGAUCGGGUCAGGUCCAUACAGACGGAUCUGAUGGUACCCGGAAUAGGCAUCUAAAAAAGACAGUCGCUCACAUCCCGCAGUCGAGUCGACUAUCUGGUCGAUGCGGGGGAGAGGAAAAUGAUCUUUCGGGCAGGCCCGAUUGAUAUGUUUAAAGUCAAUGCACAUGCAAAGUGGCUUGUCCUUCUUGGGGACCAUGACAACGUUGGCGAGCCACUCGGAGUGGUAGAUCUCUCGGAUGAACUCCGCUGCUAAGAGCCGAGCCACCUCCUCACCAAUAGCCUUUCUCUUCUGGACGGCGGACCAUCGGAGAUGUUCUUUGACAGGUUUUACUUUUGAGUCGACUCGUAGGCAGUGCUCAGCCAGCCCCCUGGGAACACCCGGCAUGUCAGAAGGCUUCCAUGCGAAAAUGUCAUAGUUCUCACGGAAGAAUUGAAUGAGCGCUUCUUCCUAUUUGGAGUCGAGUGUUGUUGAGAUAUGAGUCGGAGCAGCACUGGGAUCGGUCGGGUGAAUGUGAGCCGGCUUCAUUUCGCCAAACGAUUGAAAAGCUGAUUCUGUAGUGGGCUUCUUGGCUCGCAACAAAUCACUCGGGUCUGCAGUCUUCUGGUAUUCCUGUAGCUCCACCACUGCCAUCUGAGCAUCAGCGAUCUUUGAACCUUUCUGAAAACACUCUUCUGCUUUCUUCCAAUUGCACGUAACAGUGAUCACACCUUUGGGACCAGGCAUCUUCAAUUUGAGAUACACAUAACAUGGUUGAGCCAUGAAGCGUGCAUAAGCCGGCCUGCCCAAAAUAGCGUGAUAAGCACUCUGGAAAUCCACAACCUCGAACGUCAACUUUUCUUUGCGGUAAUUCUUGGAAUCACCGAAAACCACAUCAAGAGCAAUUUGGCCGAGCGACUCAGCCUUCUUCCCAAGAAUGACUCCAUGGAAACUCAUGUUGCUGGUACUGAGUCUGGACAUCGGAAUGCCCAUCCCUUUCAGCGUCUCAGCAUAUAGUAUGUUCAAACCACUGCCACCGUCCAUCAAGACUUUGGUCAGUCGAGUGCCUUCAACAACUGGGUCGACCACCAAAGCUUGCCUCCUAGGGGUGGCAAUGUGUGUUGGGUGAUCGGACUGGUCGAAUGUGAUGGCAGUCUGAGACCACUUCAGAUAACUGGGUGUCGCCGGAGCAACCAUAUUCACCUCACGGUUGAUAACUUUCAGUCGACUUUCAACAUCAACAAAAAUCAUCAAGGUGGAAUUGACCUGGGGGUAUCCAUCAUCACUGUCUUUCUUGUCCUCAACUUUGUCUGACUCCUUUUCCUUAUCUUUGGGUUGUUUGCCCUGGAACUGCUGGAUCAAGAGCCGACACCGUCGAGUGGUAUGUUUCGGGUAAAUGAACUUACCCUCUUCAUCUUUCUUGGUGUGGAUGUGACAUGGCAAAUCCAACACAUCAUUUCCGUCUUGGUCUUUAACUUUCUUGGGGUUCCAAGGCCCUUUGGGUUUCCCCUUAAACUUUCCUUGAGUCACAGCCAAGGCCUCCCCAGGAGCAGCUGGCUCAGCUUUCCGCUUCUGUUUCCGAUUGGAAUUUCCUCCUCCGGUUUCUUGAGCGACUGACUUGUGUUUGCCACUCCGGAGUCGAUCCUCAUCUUCACCAUUAGCAUACUUGGUGGCAAUCUCCAUCAUCCGAUUCAGAGACAUGUCUCCGGUUCGACCGAAUUUCAAAUUCAGUUCUCUGUACUUGAUGCCUUCUUUGAAGGCACAGACCGCUUGGUGAUUAGGUACAUUCUCUACCGUGUGAUGUAACGUGAUCCAUCUCUGGAUGUAAUCCCUCAAAGUUUCAUUCGGCUUCUGCACGCAAGACCGCAGUUCCUUCAGCCCUGCCGGUCGCUUGCAUGUUCCUUCAAACGUGGUGACAAACACUCGGGCGAGAUCUUCCCAAGUGUAAAUGCUGCUGGGUGCUAAUUGAUUCAGCCACGCUCUGGACGAACCCUCCAACAUGAGAGGCAGGUGCUUCAUGGCCACUUCAUCAUUGCCACCGCCAAUCUGGACAGCCACUCGGUAGUCUUCAAGCCAAGUAUCAGGCUUGGACUCACCAGUGAACUUACUGACUCCAGUCGCCAACCUGAAGUUGGGAGGAAUCACAGCGGCCCUGAUGGCUCUACUAAAGCACUCUGGCCCCGAAACAUGUACUCUGAUGCUGAUAGGUGCAUCCCUGUCAUGACCUUCUCGGUGAGCUCUGUUCCUGUCGACCAAACCUUGAACGAGAAUGGAUCUCGCGUCAAAGCCUGGUUCCCUGGGGUCGACUAGAAACCUUCGCCCAACACUAUGAGGGCGCCUGUCAUCCUGCUGUCGAGGCACAUACGAUCCACUCCUCGGGGGAGGGGUAGGCACUCGACGUUAAUCGUCAUGAUCGAAUCGGUGAUCAUAUUGCUCACGAUUCCCGUACUAAUCACGCCGGUCCCCACGUCCCUCACGCCUCAGGGGCGAUCUUGGGCUAUGAGCCGACUGGAUUGUGUCUGCAGCAAUGGAUCUGCUAUGAAUCCUGUUCCGCGACUGAGAAACAGCGGAAUUCUGGUCUCCUGCUGCCCGGAGUAAUGCUCUGAUCUGCAUCAAGCCUCUGCCAGCCUCUGACUGGGAAGGAUGAAUCGACUCUGCUAUACGGGCUGCAGCUGCUAAAUUCUGAAUCGGAGUUUGAUAUACCUGCGGGGGCGGAAAGAGCUAACGUUGACUGGAUUCUAGAACCCGUUGUCGCGCAUGCUCGUCGAGUGCUCGCUGGAGGUUCUCCAGUCGAGUGCGCUCGGCCAAGUUUGCCAGGCGCACGUCCUCCAAGGCACGAGCCUCGGGGGUUUCUCCAACGAUAGGAGUGUGCAGUGCAUCCAUGUUCCAGCGACGAAGAUCUUCUCUCUGCAGCGACGUGAGAGGCUCGGGGAGAUAUUCCUCAUGGGGACGCGAUGGGUCGCCUCCACCUGCGCCUCAGUCGGUGCGGGGAAAACCGGGAGGACUGGGCGGUCCAUCGACCAUCAGAACCUCCGCCGCUGGAUCACUGUUGUCGCACUCGGAUGCGGUCUCUGCGGAGCCAGUCAAACAGGCCGUAGAGGGAUUCGUCGGGCUCGAUCGCCGCGACUUGAGGGGUGGCCGGCUGGCGUGCCACCGCGUGUCUCACCCACCGCUGAAGUCUCGACCGACCGGAGCGCUUGUGCCGGCAGGAAACAGGGAGGGAGGACAACACAGGAGCCGACCGAUAAUGGGUCGACGGUUUCCGCAAGAGGAUGCACGCGCGAAAGUGCGUUGCCCCGCGGACAGGGAGUGUGUCCACAUCGAGUGGAGCCUCCUGAAGCCAAGCGGAGUCGUCGGCGAUGAACGUCAGCACGCCGAGACGGAUCUCACGGCCCUCCACCAAAACUCCGCCAGGAACCAUGAUGAUUUGGAUCGGAAAAGAUCACAACUCCUCCAACAAAUCGCUAAAACACCUGCCCCACGGUGGGCGCCAACUGUCGUGGUUCUAAGUCUGACAGUAAUGUAGGGGGUAGGCAUGGAGAGGCAAGAUCUUAGCUAUGGAGUAGUUGUAAGCACACGAGGUUUACGAGUUCAGGCCCUUCUCAGAGGAAGUAAUAGCCCUAUGUCUCGGAGCCCGGAGGUGGUCGGCUGGAUUAUGCGUGUAUGAAUUACAGGGGUGCGAACCCUUUACACUGAGGAAGGGGGUGGCUUAUAUAGAGUUCGCCGGACCCCUCCGGCCCUCAGUUAUGCAGGGUUUUAAAUACAUUAAGGUCGGGCGUUACUGGUAACGCCCCUAAUAAAGUGCUAUGAUGACCAUAAAAGCUACUUAACGACCGACUGUUAGCGUGCGGAGUGACUUUAGGUCUCUUGGUCGUCGAGUGGUUGGAUCUUGGUCAAGUGAUUGCUUCUUCGUCGAGUGUCUUCGAGUAUGUCAAGUGGAACACCUCCAAGUCGAUUGAAAGGUGAUUUCUUCUAGAGAUGUCCUUGGGUAGGGCAGUUGGGACAGGUCCAUGACCCUACCCUAGGUACAUAGCUUCAUCAGGCACCUCUACAAAUCCCUGCUUCCCUCUGCGAAGGGCCUAUCCAUUUACUUUUAUGUUGAGUCAUCACCCUCUUAUUAAAAAGAACUAGCUGGAGAGCACAGCUGUCAUUUGCAUUCAUCACUAUUAAUCUAUGUUGGGUGUGACUAUGAUUGGAUCUCUUUUACCAUGAAUUACAAUGUCUAGUCAGUCCUUGAUCUUUAAAGGUGCUCUGCAUUUAUGUUUUACGGUCUCAGAAAGGGCUAGCGAGAUACCAUCUUGUUAUAUCAUAUUAUGAUUGUUUUGAGAAAGUGUUGUCAUCCGAGAUUUAUUAUUAUGGCUUGCUAGUUGAUUAUGCUAUUGAUAUGAGUAAUUAUGAGACCUGAGAAUUAUUGCAAAUGUGGUUAGUUAUGAUCUAUGCUGAAAACUUGAAUGCUGGCUUGACAUAGUUACAACAACAAGAGCAAACAGAGUUUGUAGAAGUUUUUUCUUUCUUUCUUUUAGUUUGUCAACUGAAUUGCUUGAGGACAAGCAAGGGUUUAUGCUUGGGGGAGUUGAUACGUCUCCGUCAUAUCUACUUUUUCAAACACUUUUGCCCUUGUUUUGGACUCUAACUUGUAUGACUUGAAUGGAACUAACCCGGACUAACGUUGUUUUCAGCAGAAUUGGCAUGAUGUUGUUUUAUGUGCAGAAAACAAAUAUUCUCAGAAUGACCUGAAACUCCACGGAACAUCUUAGAAAAAAUAAAAAAAAUCCUCGCCAAAGAUGAAGACCAGGGGCCCACACCCUGUCCACGAGGGUGGGGGCGCCCCCCUAGGGCGCGCCCCCCUACCUCGUGGGCCCCCUGGAUGCCCUCCGACGCCAACUCCAACUCUAUAUAUUUGAUUUCGGAGAGAAAAAAUCAGAGAGAAGAAAUCAUCGUGUUUUACGAUACGGAGCCGCCGCCAAGCCCUAAAACCUCUCGGGAGGGCUGAUCUGGAGUCCGUUCGGGGCUCCAGAGAGGGGGAUUUGUCUCCGUCGUCAUCAUCAACCAUCUUCCAUCACCAAUUUCAUGAUGCUCACCUCCGUGCGUGAGUAAUUCCAUUGUAGGCUUGCUGGACGGUGAUGGGUUGGAUGAGAUUUAUCAUGUAAUCGAGUUAGUUUUGUUAGGGUUUGAUCCCUAGUACCCACUAUGUUCUGAGAUUGAUGUUGCUAUGACUUUGCUAUGCUUAAUGCUUGUCACUAGGGCCCGAGUGCCAUGAUUUCAGAUCUGAACCUAUUAUGUUUUCAUGAAUAUAUGUGAGUUCUUGAUCCUAUCUUGCAAGUCUAUAGUCACCUACUAUGUGUUAUGAUCCGGCAACCCCAAAGUGACAAUAAUCGGGACCACUCCCGGUGGUGACCAUAGUUUGAGGAGUUCAUGUAUUCACUAUGUGCUAAUGCUUUGUUCCGGUUCUCUAUUAAAAGGAGGCCUUAAUAUCCCUUAGUUUCCAAUAGGACCCCGCUGCCACGGGAGGGUAGGACAAAAGAUGUCAUGCAAGUUCUUUUCCAUAAGCACGUAUGACUAUAUACGGAAUACAUGCCUACAUUACAUUGAUGAAUUGGAGCUAGUUCUGUGUCACCCUAUGUUAUAACUGUUACAUGAUGAACCGCAUCCGGUAUAAUUAUCCAUCACUGAUCUGGUGCCUACGAGUUUUCCAUAUACUGGUUUACGCUUAUUUACUUUCCGCUGCAACUGUUACAAUCACUACAAAAUACCAAAAACAUUACUUUUGCUGUCUUUACUUUUAUUUCCGCUACCACCACUAUCAUAUUACUUUGCUACUAAACACUUUGCUGCAGAUACUAAGUUUCCAGGUGUGGUUGAAUUGACAACUCAGCUACUAAUACUUGAGAAUAUUCUUUGGCUCCCCUUGUGUCGAAUCAAUAAAUUUGGGUUGAAUACUCUACCCUCGAAAGCUGUUGCGAUCCCCUAUACUUGUGGGUUAUCAGCGUCCACCUCCGUGGCCAUCAGUGUUGCCAAAGCGUCGAACAAAUCAGACAGAACUUGAGCCGGAGGCGGCGUAGAGCCCCCUGCUCCCGCUGGCGUUGCCGUCGCUGAACCGGAGAGCAUUGCCGCGGCGGUUGAUGAGUGGUGUGCUGAUUGUGUAACGGCCAUGAAGAUAGCGACCCGGUUUGGCAGAUCGAGGGGGUCCGGAAUACUGUUGCCAUCGGAACCUCCGCUAAUCUGGCCAUCCUGCAACUGAUACAGCGAUUCGGUCUCUCCAGUUGAAGACUCGUCGUCAGAACAGACAACAGUUUCUCCAUCAGAUGCCGGUCCAUCCUCAUAUUCCGCUCCAUGGAUGACACCUACAAAAACAUGCCUUGCUGCGGGCUAAACCGGGGAAGGGCUUGCACGCUGAGCCGUCUUGAUGAUGUCGGUGCAGGUGUCCGGCUCAGGGCCCGGUUCACCGGUCUUGCUGAUGAAGACGUGAAUCCCACCAAAGGGGACCCGGUACCCGUAUUCGAUUGAACCGGCCUCGGGACCCCAUCCUGCGUCGUCGAUGUAGAGCUUGCCACGACGACUCUUUGUCAUUUGGCCCACAGCGUAUCCCUUGAGUCCAUCAAAGCUGCCCUUCAAGAACUCGAAAUCAUCGUGCGAUAGCCCCACGAUGGGCGCCAACUGUCGUGGGUUUGUCACGGCAGAUGUCCUCGUGAAAGGACUUAAGUCGUGGAGCCAUCGCUACGGGUUAGCUUAAAGGGGUUAAACCGGACAAGGGGCGCGGGGGAUUUUAUACUAGUUCGGCCCCUUCGAUGAAGGUAAAGCCUACGUCUAGUUGUGAUUGGUAUUGCUAGGGUUUCGAUGACCAGGGAGCAAAUCCGCUUUGCCUGGCUCUCGAGUUAUUGUCUGUCGUCCCUAAAUCGCUGUCGGGUCAUCCCUUUAUAUACAUAGGUUGACGCCCACCGGUCUACAGAGUCCCGAGGCCGGAUCAUAAACGUGUCCGGCUCGGUCUCUAUUCCUCUAACUUACAAUAUAAGUUACAUGAAAGAGUCGGUUUACAUCUACAGGCCUUUAACCCGCCUUUGGGCCUUGGGCCUUCGUAAAGCGCCUCCAUCCUCACGUCUUCAUGGGCUUCUAUCUUCAUGGAGCUAACCCGGCCACUCCUAGACGGUUUACUCCGCGGCCCCCUCGGCCCCCUCAGUGCCCCCAGCCUCCUCGGCGCCCCCGCGCCUCCGGCACUUGUGGCCGGUCCGGUCACCCACGCCCGUACGGGUGUUUUUCGCCCGAGCUCGCGCUACGCCGCGGACGACUACGUCCAUGCGGCGUCCACCUCUGAGCCGUCGCCAUUGCCAUCCUUCGUCCGAGCAGCUCUUCGUGACCCGCUCUGGAUGGCUGCGAUGCAUGAGGAGUUUGACGCCCUGUUGCGCAACUGGACGUGGCAGCUUGUUCCCCGUCCUCGGCACGCCAACGUGAUUACCGGGAAGUGGGUCUUCAAACACAAGCUCCGUCCCGAUGGUACCCUUGAUCGUUAUAAAGCGCGUUUGGUCGUCCGUGGAUUCCGACAGCGUGCUGGCAUCGACUUCACCGACACCUUCGCUCCGGUCGUCAAGCCCGGCACGAUACGCACGGUUCUCCACCUUGCGGUCUCCCGUGCUUGGCCGGUGCACCAGAUGGACGUCUCCAACGCCUUCCUUCAUGGUCACCUCGAGGAGCAGGUCUUAUGCCAGCAUCCCAUCGGGUUCGUUGAUCCGGCACUUCCCGACCUCAUGUGCCUGCUUUAGCGGUCCUUGUACGGACUCAAGCAGGCUCUGCACGCUUGGUACAGCGCAUCGCGGCGUUUCUUCAUCAGCUUGGGUUCCGCUACACUCGCUCGGACGCAUCGCUCUUUGUUUAUCAUCAGGGCUCCGACACGGCCUACUUGCUGCUAUAUGACGACGACAUCAUCCUGACGGCAUGUACGACUGGCCUUCUCAGUCAGUUCAGGCUUGUCUUCGCGCUGAGUUCGCCAUCAAGGACUUGGGUCCUCUGCACUACUUCCUCGGUCUUGAGGUGGCGCGUCAUCCGGAUGGCUUCUUUCUUCAUCAUAGGAAGUACGCUCAUGAGCUCCUGGAGCGUGCUGGCAUUCUUAACUGCAAUCCCGCUGCCACGCCUGUUGAUACGAAGGCCAAGCUCUCUGCCACGGAUGGUUCCCCUGCUUCGGAUGCUGUGUUCUAUCGGUCUAUUGUUGGUGCUCUCCAGUACCUCACUUUGACUCGACCAGAGAUCCAGUAUGCAGUGCAGCAGGUGUGUCUUCAUAUGCAUGCUCCUCGGGAUGUUCACUAGGCCGCUGUCAAGCGGAUUCUCCGCUAUGUUUGUGGCACUAUGGAUCUUGGAGUCACGCUUCACGCCUCCGCCGACACCGCCCUCACAGCCUACUCCGAUGCAGACUGGGCGGGCUACCCUGACACACGUCGCUCCACCUCGGGCUAUUGUGUCUACCUUGGACCCUCCCUUAUCUCGUGGUCGUCCAAGCGGCAGCCUAUGGUCUCUCGCUCCAGUGCUGAGGCUGAGUAUCGUGCGGUGGCCAACGCCGUCGCUGAGUGUUCCUGGCUUCGUCAGCUGCUUCAGGAGCUGUCUUUCCCUGUUGACUGUGCCACGGUGGUCUACUACGAUAACGUCUCAGCGGUCUACCUCUCCGCUAACCCGGUGCAUCAACGACGGACCAAGCAUAUUGAGUUGGAUAUUCAUUUUGCUCGGGAACAUGUGGAUCUUGGUCAUAUUCGUGUUUUGCACGUCCCUACUUCCCAACAAUUUGCAGAUAUCAUGACCAAGGGCUUGCCUACGGCGUCAUUUGAGGAGUUCUGGUCCAGUCUUUGCGUCAGCCGCGGUGCCGCUUCAACUGCGGGGGGGGGGGUGUUGAGGAUAUCAUUUGUGCAUGUAUAUUGUCUUUUGUACAUUAGGCCCACCUCUCUAGUUUGUUGUAUAGAUUAAGGUAGAGGCCCCACAUUGUACUUAUAUAUACCGUGCACAUUGCACCGAAUCAAUACAUCGUGCAAUUCAUACAUCUUCACUCUUGACCUGGUGGCUAAGAUGAUAGCGGCCAAAGGCAAAGUUUGGCGACAUGCCGGCUUGUUAAUAGGAGAACUUGAGGACCUCUUCGCGGAGGAGAGCAAUGAUUUGGUACCCAGACUCAUCUGCACUCGAACUGAAGAAAAAAAAGCAAAAUAAAUACUAUUUUUUUCAAAAAAAAAUUCUUUUUUGCAUGGUAGAUAAUUUGAUGCGCGAGAUCCACUCCAAAUUUCAGAAUAUUCGAACAUCUAAAUAGCUCUCGGUAAAAAAAGAAAAAAUUAGAGUCUGUAAAAAAGUUUAUUGUUCAUGUACAGUCUGACCCAAUUUAUCUUUUUUGCUGAGAGCUACUCAUAUGUUCAAACGAUCUGAAAUUUGCAGCGCAGCUCAUACACCGAAUUAUAUAACAUACAAAACAAAGUUGAAUUUUUUGUGAAUUUUUUAUUGACCGGGUGCAGAUGACUCUGGGCUCAAAAAUGAAUAUUCGUUCGCGGAGUUGUUAUGGUGGGCAAGACGAGAGUAGUUCUCUUGGUAUCUCCUCGGCAGAUAGGCUGGUGUAUGCGUGAUGUGGGUUAGUGAAUUGUUGUUGGUGCUGUAGUUAAAAUUGUAACAACGGUGGUUUAGGUUCUUUACCAUAUUGGUGGCAUUGCUCGGAUAUAUUCAGACUAUUAUUUAGGGUGAAAACUUUGAUUCUGGCCUUUGUGGUUGGAUCCGGUGACGGCGGCGCUUGAGCGUCGCUUCCUUCCUGAAGGUGUUGCUGUUGAAGAUCAUCGGCCUCCAUAUAAUGUCAAUGGUUGGUGUGGACAUGGUCUCAGUUGUAGUUUGUCGAUUGCUGAUCUGAUCUCUUUGGAGCUUUUUACUUUUUCAUUUUCUUUUUUCCAUGCUUAUGCAUAGCUUUUGGUCUUGUGACCUUGCUAGUUGUUGGCGUGUUUAUGCGUAUGUGUGUGUGUAUGUGUUGGGUUGGCUGUGUGUAUCCUAGUUAUGCAGAGGCCAGGUGUGUGCUCAUAUUGUAUCUUCUCGAUACUUCAUUUGAGCCAAUAAAAUUCACCCUUUAUCGAAAAAUAAGUUUUAAAAUAAGUUUUUCUAAGAUUAAUUUUUUUAAAGCAAGUUUUAGCACACUAGGGGCUUAGGGCAUCUCAAACGCUAUCCCCUAGAACGAGCACUUAUACGGUAGCCAGUCAUCCAAUGCUAGCCGUAAAUAUCUGGCCGUAAUACAAACACAUUAAGACAAAAUUGAUCCAAACACGACAGAAUUCAUUUAAGUUCUGAUAUAAUUUAUAUAAAACGGACAAUAUUUCAACCGUUCAAGUAAAACCUUAAAAAAAACUUAAACUAGAUUGUAGUGGACGGUUACCUCGUACAUGUGGCCGCAGUGGCGGAGCCAGAAACUAAAUAUAUAGAAGGCCAAAACAUGUCAUAUAAUGUUAGAGGGGGCCAAAUUACCUAAACGUAGCUAAAUUUGUCUGACAAAUGAAAAAUUAGAAGUACAUAUAGAUGUAUUUGUAAGAGCAUAGGGGGCCUUGCCCCUGCUAGCACCCCCUGCCUCCGCCACUGUGUGGCCGGUCUGGCUGAUGGCACCUCCGUUGUUGCAUGUAUCAUCAAUUCAUCAUUGUCGGAGUGGCCCCUCCAGUGGAAAGAUCUUGACACAAAAAUGCUACAGUGAAAACUAUUCAUGAUUUGAACGCACGGUUCAAGUAAUAAAAUGUUUUGACAAAAAAUGAAUUUACGAAAAUAGCACAAACAAAACCACCCAUGCCUCUUGUUGAACGCUCAUUGUGUCAAUAUCAGGGCAACGCACAGGGCGCAUCCAGGCUGGAGUAGCCCAUUGGCACACAAAGCACAUGAUUACUGUAGCAGCACAAACCAAACAAUAUAUGAAAAAAUCAAGAAAUUUUUUUGGAACAUGCUUUUUUUAACUAUGAAGAAAAUAAAUCUUCAGAACAUUUUUUAAAACAUGAGAAAAUAUCAAAAAAAUUGAACACCUUUUCAAAAUUAUUAAUAUUUUUAGAAUCUUCAGAAUACUUUUGACAAGCUAAACAAAAUUUGAAAACCAUGAACAUUUUUUAAUUUCCCUUUUUUAAAUGGAAAUAUUUUUAGAAUAUGUGGUUUUUUAUUGAAAAUGCAUACAUUUUUUAAAAUAUAAAUUAAAAUGAACAAAAAUAGAACCAUUGAAGAAAGCAACAAAAAAACCCGGUUCCAAAACCUUCUUGAAGGUUCCCAAAACCGGAACAAGAAACCCUCUCGCUGAAUCUUGAUGGGUCGGCACGUCACAUAUGGCACAUGAGCCUCUUCUACGUGAAAGGUUGGCAUUUUGACACAACGAGCGUCAAUUAGAAAAUUCUAUAACAUUAGUGAGCAACUAAUUAAGGGGUAUCCCUUCGGGGGAGAACCCAGCGGACACUUUGGGUUGGCUAUGAGGGCACCACUUGGUGCACCCCAGCCGCCAUCACGUGUCAUGUGUUGGUGCACACCAUGGGAGCAUGUUUUUUUCUCUCUUCAGCAUGCAUGAUUAUUUUUGUAUUUGUUCAUGUUUUUCGGUUUAUGCUUGGCUUUUCCUACAUUUUUCUCUGGAAAAAUUAUUUAUUAUUAUUACUUUUCUCGUGCGAAGCAUAAUUUGUGCUUUCAAAAAAGGAAAAGGCACAUAUGUGCGAAAAGCACAUAUGUGCUUACCCAAGAAGUAUAAUUAUGGUUAUUGAAAAGGUAGAAGCACAAUUUUGCUUUCGUGAGAACAUAAUUAUGCUUUUUGAAAAGGCAAAUCACAAUUGUGCUUGCCAAAAAAAAAGGAAAAACACAGCUUGUGCUUCACGAAAACGGAAAAGCACAACCCGUGUUUCUGCAAAAAGCAUAGUUGUGCUUCCCAAAAGUUUUGGUGAUUAAAGCACAACUAUGCUUCCAGGUUUCGGCCUUUUUUCUGGUUUCAAUUUUUAAUUUAUCUUUUUAUUCCCAGUUUUUCGACAAAAAAAGUUCAUCAAAACUCAUUAAUAUGGGAUCUAGUUUCAAAGAUCUCGAUGCGAUAAAUCUAUAUGGACCAUACUAUUAUCUUCCUUUUUAUUUUAAAGGGUGAUGCACAUACAACGGCCAAUCGAGCCAACCAAUUUGAGGUAAUUUUUCCUUCCAAAAAAACAGUGAUUUUGGCAAUGAAUAGAAUAGGUGACUUCCAACUUCUGAACGUAUAUUGUUAUCACUGGAGCCGACGAGCGUUAGUAACUGAUUGCAAGCCUGGUUCUUUAAGAAAUAACUAGAGCGACAGAUUUAUUUAUUUUUCUUUUCAAAAUUGUAUAUAAUUCUCAAAACACGAAAAUAAAAUAAAAUACAUGAACAACUUUUGAAAUUCCAAACUUAAAAGAAACACAAACAAUUUUUUGACACUGUGAACAGAAUUUUCAAAUGUUUUUUUAAAACUGUAUUUUUAAAAAAAAUGCAAUCUUAGUUGAAAUUCCUCAACAAUUUUGAAUUUGUGAAAAAAAAUUGAAAAAAAGGAACGACCUUUUGAAUUAUGAACAUUUUUCGAAAUUUCCAAAUAUUUUGUGAAAAGUAAGUAUAACUUGAAAAAGAAAAACGAAAAACAGAAAGAAAAAAAAAGAAAACCAAAAACCCAGGGGGAAAACCCGGCUCACGAAUCUUCCAAACCAGAACCAACAUAAAACAUUGAAUGGGCUGGCCCAACCGAUCUCUAGCAGCCUCCGCCCGUGCGUUUCAGCGACACUCUGUGGCGUUAAGCGUCAUAUAGGGAAUUUGCCAUUUAUCUACCCCCUAGAAAAAGUCCCAUUUAUCUCUUUUUUUUAAUUGAAAAGGGUCCCCAUACUACUAUCUCGUGCAUUUCUCCCUCUCCCUCUGAAAAUUCACAUAGUAACAGAAAAUAUCUCUAGGCCUUGACGCCGUAUCUUGCACGCGAGACAGGCAGCACCAGUAUCUGAACUGCAGGUGAAUUAUUCAGGCAUGCUACUCCGUGCAUUCCUGAUCGCUGAUAUCUGCGUGGGUCAAAGUAAAAUCUCCAUCCAUGUCUGUGUGUUCGAGCGCGCACGAUGUUACGUGCAAAAAGGCUAUGAAUGGCCCACGAAUGGGACGGCGGAAUUGCUCGGCUCCAUGGAAACCUCGCAUUCCUUGAUUUCCUGCAAAUGGCUCAGGGUGAGUGGAUGGACGCGCGUGCACGGGUUGGUUCCAAGGAAAGGCUUUUUGCGUUGCGCCUCAGAUCACAACCUCCCUCCUACGGCGCACUCCCCUCACCACGCAACUUGUGGUCUGCUGUUAACCGAUACUGAACUUCUCGUCGGUCAAAUUCAAUCGAAGAAAUUCUUUACUUGGCCGAUGGUAAGCAGCCGCUCCGUUCCUUGGCGCCACAAAUAACCGCUGCUUUCCUGCAGUCCGCGCGUUUUACCCUGCGACUGCGAGAGCCAGGUUUUUUUUAUAUUUUUGUUGAGGGAUGCGAGGGCCAAGUUGGACGCCCCACUGUGACAGCUGCGCACACACAAAUCAGAGGACGCCGGCCGGGCCCAGCACGCCCCCUGCAGUGACUCCACAGCAACGGCUACCCCAUCCUUUGAAUUUUCGUCCUCGAUCUCAAUCUCCCGCAACCGUCCGAAUAACGCGUGUGUCCGGUCACGUCUUUCGCCUGCAAAUCGAGGAGGUUUUCGGAUGUCCGAACCAUUACCAUGCCUACUUCCAAUAAACCUGGCACAUCAAAAACCAUUUUCCUCGUCUACGCGCUUUUUUCGUUUUAAGUCAGCUGCGCGCAUUCAUGCCACUCUAGAGUGACCACUUGGUAUUGACACCGGUCCAGAGCAAACAUGAUCUCUCAUUGUCAUCUGCAUUGAAGCGGCUCGCCGAUUGAUGGCGCCGUCCAUAUUGUGUCCCCGGUAUUCAUGCAUGUUUACUGACUGAAAGACGUUUAUUAGAUAGAACGGAACAGAUAUCUACCACAUCCGUUCAAUAUUCAUUUGUUUAUCCGCCGCCAUUAAAUAGGCUUGUCGGUCAGGAAACCAACUUUGUGCCCACGCAUUGACGCACUCAGACGCUUGACCUCAUGGGCAUCCGCUAUUUAAAGGCGGCCCACCCGGCUCACACCGCAACCAAUUCGCUCCACAUCGUACUCCCGUGUACCACAUUCAUCAUGACCGCGAGCGAGAACGCGUUGUGGGAGAGCCUCUCGACAAAGCAAAAGCGUGAGGUGGCCGUCCUUGCGGCCGGCUGGCAGAGCCGCCAUGCGACGCGGAUAGAGGCCGGUACGCCGGCCAGCUCUUCAGAUAGAGGCCGACGACAACUCCACAAUGGAGACAGGCUCCGACGACGACUCUGAGCUGCAGCUUGCGCCUGUGCAUGGUGGCUUCACGAAGGAGCUAGCACAAACGCACUUCAACACCGCCAUGGCGGAGGAGUAGCCGGUGCCGGCGCCUAUGUCGACAUUCUGGCGGGCGCGGGAGGAGCAACGGUUUUUAAGUUGUUCCUACUCGAGCAGCACCGAUCGGCGGAGGGCCAAAUCUAUGUCGAGCGCGCAAGCAAGGAAACCUUGUCGGCCAUGGCCACUACGAACCCACUCUACGAGGCCGCCCACGCUCACACCGCCGAACGUGGAGACGGAGCUGGCAACCGUGGGAGAACGCCGUCAGCUGCACAUUCUACGUGCCGCCAAACAACGUUUGGCCACGCCGGUGGCACAAGGAGAGCGUGCCGCCAAACAACGUUUGCCACGCCGGUGGCACAAGGAGAGUGUCUGCAUGUACACGUACACGAUGAGGAUGAGUAGAGCAUGGGAGGCGGCGGGGCCUCGAGUCCCAAAUGGGUCAGUCUGUCUCCCAUAUUCUACUCUUCCUCUUGCCGGCGACCCGCACCUUCACUUCACGGAUCUUAUCAACGCCACUCAUGAAGACAGCAAGAUGGACCCGGUGAUCGCCGAAAGGGAACAACAAGGACGUGAGGGAUGGGCGCCGCCAUAGGCUAGGUUUAGGUCUGAUCGCUUUUUUAAUUGAAAAAUAUCAAAAAUAAUAAUAAAUGUGCUCCAGUUUAGAUAAAAAUUGCUCGGUUUGUAUGUUAUUUGUCCGAUUUGUUGAAAUCUGGUUGAAAAUGUAUAUGGCUAUAGUUGGAUGGCCGCUCUCCAUCAAUAUCCACAGACUGGUCUCCCCAGUUCACGGAUAGGUAUGGUGUACGGUUUGGACGUCGGUAUUGAAGAUGCCCUUAUGACCAGCUGCGAAAAUAAGAUGGACUAUACCUAGUUUAUUCUAGAAGUCCAAUCUAUUUUUUAGAAGCUUAGUAAUAAUUAGUAGGGUUCUAAAAUAGAACCUCCAUUACUAAAUUUAAGAUGUUUUUCAGUUAAGAAACGCCUUGUGUUUACAUACGGAGUUAGUAAAAUUUUAGAUUGGUUUUUUAAAAUAAGCUAGAGAUCAGGAAGGGGACAACUUAUUUCUACAGCCAGCCAUAAGCAAAAAAGAAAAACUGGCACGUAGACUUGUGUGUCCCAUGUCACCCCUCCCUACCCACACUGCUUCAGUUGCCUCGGAGAUAUCAGGUGCUCCCAAGCUUGGGGUAUUCCCAGUGCUUCAAAUUCAAAAAAACAUUCUUAAAUGUUUCAAAAAAUCUAACAAAAAUUCUGAAUGUUCAUAAAGUAUGUCACUACAACCCUUAAAAAAUUUUGGUCCAAACUCCAAACGCACAUUGACAAAUAAAAAUGUGAAAUCUAACAUGAAUAGUGUAAAAAAAAGACAAAAGCAACAUUGACACUAUUCAUAUCCGGAUUUCACUUUUUUGUUUCUCAAUAUGCAUUUUGAGUUUGGAUCUGAAAUUUUGAGGGGUUGUAGUCACAUUCCUUAUGGACAUUCACAUUUUUUGGGGGGAAUUUUUUGAAACAUUUAAAAUUUAUUUUUCUGAAUUUGGAGCACCCGGAGUACAUCAAGCUUGGGAGCACAUGAUACUUUCCCUCAGUUGCCUUGCCUACCAACUUGUGUUUACUGUUAACCGCUACCAACCAACCGACGCGCACCGCCGUAUGGUGAUGCUAAUUGUCGAGUAUCAUGUGUACAGAAACGAGCCUCCUAGGUUUAUUUAGGAAAGCCUUCAUAGCACACUUCACUGAUAAUCAAAGAAAGAUACAUCAUUUAUGAGAGCGUUAAAACCAGUCUCCUAGGUAGUUAGCCUUCUCUAAGAGCAACUAUAGUAGAUCCCUUAAAAGCUACUCCCUCCGUCCCAUAAUGUAAGACGUUUUUUAACACAACACUAGUGUCAAAAAGCGUCUUACAUUAUGGGAUACAAGGAGUAUUAUAUUUUAGAGGAAUUGUUUUUAGCGAUUAAGUAUCAUCUAGCAGANNNNNNNNNNNNNNNNNNNNNNNNNNNNNNNNNNNNNNNNNNNNNNNNNNNNNNNNNNNNNNNNNNNNNNNNNNNNNNNNNNNNNNNNNNNNNNNNNNNNNNNNNNNNNNNNNNNNNNNNNNNNNGGGCCGGUCCUGAGAUUUCGGGGGCCCGGGGCGAAACUAAAACCCAGGGGCCCUUGAUUUAAGCAUCGAAAUAAUGUGUUAUGGAGAAAAUAGACAACAAUGCGCGAUGCAAAGUCUUGUUUAAUGUCAUGCUUGAACUUCAACUAUGGGAGUACAUUAUUUUAGAUACUGAACCAAAACAACAGAAGCCUCCCCGAAUAGUCCACAAGGAAUUUGCGUCCAAAUUGCAUUGUUGGAUUCACAUUUUUGAGUUCUUGGAAUGACUAUGGUACGACUAUUACUACAAAUAGGAGUAUCUGAGAAAUUAGAUAGAUGAUCGAAAUUCAUACGAGUGGUGUGGAAAAUAUUUCUUCGUAUCUUCAAAAGUUAAAUACCUUCGUAUCUUUAAAAAGUAAAUAUAUGGUGCCACGCAUGCAAAGUUACUCACAUUUAGCGAAUUGUGCAAAUGAUUAAAUUAAGAGUUAAUUACCCAAUUAUGACGUCAUCUCAUUGCUCAAUUCAACCAACUGCCAUGAGAGAAUCCAGAUCCUCGUUCUGCGCUUGAUCUCUUUGAGAUCUACUGCGGGAACAUCAAUAUUACAGAACCAGAACGGUUAAUUGUACAAACAGUGAAAGAUGUUGACCUGCCGGUAAUACUCACCUUUGUAGAGACGACACUCCGGCGCCGGAGAUCAGCUCCAUAGAUCAUGUGCGCGCCUGAGAUCAUGUGCACCGCGCCCCUUGGGAUCUGGGUCUCAUCUUAUACUGCUCUUCUGGUUCACUACGUACGUUUUUUAUGGCGGAAAGGCGGCGGCUAUUACGUGCGUGAUGGCGAUUUUUUGGCGAUGCAUGCGUGGGUUGGCAGUUGAUGCGUGAGUUAUGGCGAUAUAUCAGACUCUCCAUAUACGUACGUUUUUUGAAGAACUUCCAUCUACGAUACGUAGCUGCUUCUACUUGCGAUGGGCCAGGCACACUGAACUUUUUUUUACUGCAGUCAAAUGGGCCAAAUACAAGGAAAUACAUACUUGGGGGCCCCUCCACCUUGGGGGCCCGGGGCGGCCGCCCCCCCUGCCCCCCCUCAGGGCCGGCCCUGAAUAUAGUCUAGAGUGGGCACUUCUCAGAAGAAGAAAAAGGGAACACGCUGUGUUGCUCCCCACUCAUCCGCUGCUUUGCCACUCGAUCCGGCCACCGUCACUUGCCCUCCAUCGAUUGCCCCUAGCCCCAAUGACCGCUGGAAUGGACAACUCCACCAUCGUUGCACCCUUCGCCACCCUUGUCAACGUUGAAGACCCAUCGCCAAUCGCAAGUUUGGCACCACAAGGACCAAAUCAACAAACGCCAAGUGAAGAGAUUGAGAGCUAUCGGUCGCCAGAGGUGGUCGUCGGUAGCUCCACCACCACCAUCCUACAUCCCUUGUCCACCUAGAGUCGCGCAAUGACCCUUCCACCUCUAGUGGCCGAAGACGAGACCGGUUCAGACGAGACAAAGAGUGAAGCCGAUGUUCCCAAGGAUAUCCCUGCAAGGAACAAACAUACUUCUUAUUUUGCAAUUGCUCAAUUGAAUGAUGCAUGAUUUGAUAUUGAUUGCUAGGUGAGCAAUGAAUGAUGAUGUAGAUGAUUUCAUUGCUAUAGGGUGCUAGUUGGAAAUGAGAUGUGGGCAAGAAGGAACUUUCAAACACAUCGAAGAGGCAAAGGCCCAACACACAAGUUGACGAUGACUUGGUAGAGAACCCAUCCACUCCUCAACUUCGGACAGAUGGAAAUAAAAACUCAAAGCUAGCCAAGAAGCAUGUUGUUCGAGCAUACAAUGAGGAGUUAAUUGCGAUGUUGGAGGUAAAUAGGUCAUUGGCGGCCAACCGGAAAGAGGAGAAGAUGGUUUGUUUCUAUGAGAUGAAGAUGAUGGAGGGGGAGAAGAUGGACAUGGAACAAUUAUCAUGUGGCAUGGAAAUGUCAAUACAAACAACAUUGACAUGAUCCCAACCAUCAAUAUUGAGGCAGUUACAUCACAUGAUCUAUGGAUCUAACAUGCAUACUUCGGGAUGCUUGGCUCCAAAACAUGACCUCAAUGUCAUGCAAUGAUCCCAUCCUUUUGCAAGGCUAUUUGCCGGUGAUGCUCGAACUUGUAACUAUGUUGUCAAUGGCCAACAGUAUAACCUGAGGCACUACCUUGUUGAUGGUAUCUACCCUCCUUGAGCCACAUUUGUGAAGACCCAACAUCCUCAAGGUAACAAGAAAUCUCACUUAGUGUGCCAAGAAUCUACUAGGAAGGAUGUUGAGAGAGCUUUUGGUGUGCUUAAAAAACGCUUUGCAUUUAUCCAUGGCCAUGUUGAGUUUGAAGCCUAAAAGCCUUUGACAGGUCGUGACAACAUAUGUGAUCUUGCACAACAUGAUCAUAGAGGUCGAGAGAGAUGACACGGAGAACUUGCGGCGUCUACAAUGGUGUCAUGGCGGAGCCUGAACGUCAUGCAAACAUGAUCCAAGCAUUCCUCCAAGCACAUUGAAGGAUCAAGAACCUAGAAGCAUACAACCAGCUCCAUGAAAAUCUUAUUGAGCACCGUUGGCCACUUCAUAGCACUUGAUUCUUACGUUUUUAUCAUGUUUUCUUUUGGAUUGUUAUUUCAUUUGAACCAUAUGUUGUGUUCGAAUUUGAACGAUUAAGUCUGGAAAACAUUAAAUUUGAUAUGUAGUUCAAGUGUGUGUACUUGAAUUCUUAAGUUUCGAAUCAAGAUGUUGUGAUAAUAUAUUUUCAUUCAGGUUUGAAUUGUACUCUACUUAUUUUUUGAGAGCGUGAAAAUGGGGCGUCAUUGAGCCUAAAGCUGCAGUAUUCAUUAGAGGUGUGCACUUCUAAUGAGAUGCAUUUCUAGUUUGUAGCUUAUAUACGAACUGAUUUGGAGAACGAUUAUUGUUGAAUGCCCGAUUGCCCAUUCAUUCGUACGGCUUAGCAUGAUUUCAAGCAAGUCAUGAAUGGACAAUCCAUACAACGGUAUCUGGCCUGGCGUAGUACACGGAGAGACGCAACAACGGCACGGCACCACCGUCCGUCCGUCACACACGGAGGGGUACGCAACCCAUCAGGCCGCCCCUACACUCCAAGGGAAGAUUUUGCGCCCCAGAACCAUUGGGUUGGAUCUUCCCUUGCCGAUGAUAACCAACCGCUCCGUUCCUUCGCGCCACAUAUAACCGCUGCUCUCCUGCCGUCCGCACGCUACUCGGUUUCACUUUCACCCCGCAAAGCCAAGCUGGAGAGCGCUGGACGCCCCAGGGUAAUGGCUGCCCACAGACCGAGUCACCGGAAGAGCCAGCCGCGGGUUACGCCGUGGGCCGUCGCGCUCGCCCACCACCCCGCGCUGUGUCGCCUAGCCCGGAGCUCAUACCGUCCGUCCGUCGCCCCCGACCCCUCUUCCUACCCGGGCCCGCCCCCGCUGCGGCCGCAACCACCACGGGCCCGCCGCGCCCAGUCGAGGCCCCACACGUCGGCGUUCAUCACGUGCCUCAUCGGCCCUGCUCGCCGGAUAUAUAUCUCGCGCCAGCCGUGCCCGCAGUGUCAGUCAGUGACUCAGUGAGUGACGCGACGCGCUUGCCCGUACGCUGCCAGUCCGCCUGAGAUAUUUCUCUCUCUCUCUCUCUCUCUCUCUCUCUCUCUCUGGGGUGAGGGUGAGGGACUGAGGGUAGACCGCGGGUGCCCGUGAUGCUGCUGCGGAGCGCGUCCUCGCCGCUGCUCAACGCGGCGCGCGUGCCGGCGGCCGCGGCGGUGGAGCAUGUACUGGGCCACGGGCACCUCGCGGUGGCGUCGCCGGCGGGGCAUCACGGGCCGAGGCAGCAGGGGGCGCUGUGCCGCGCAUUGUCCGAGGCCGAUCUGCUGGCGCCGGUGCAGCUCCCGGCCGCCUCCGCCUUCCUCGAGGAGUUGGACGAGGAGGAGGCGCAGCAGGAGGACGAGGACGUGGUCGCGGUCGGGGUGGCGGCCGUGCCGCUGCGCCGGCUGCUGACGAGCACGGGGCUGGACGCCGCGGGGGAGGAACAGGAGGCCGGCGCCGGCGGAGCCCUGGCGCUCCUCGAGGGCGUCGGGGGAGGCGGCGGGCGCGGGAGGGUGUGCGGCGGCUGGCAGGGCGGCCGCGGAGGAGACGGGGACGGCGACGGCGACGGAGGUGACCGCGGCGCCACCGACGCGCACUACCGGCGGAUGAUCAGGGCCAACCCGGGCAACUCGCUGCCGCUGGGGAACUACGCCAGGUUCCUCAAGGAGGUGCAGGGGGACGCGGCGAGGGCGCAGGAGUACUGCGAGCGCGCCAUCGUCGCCAACCCCGGCGACGGCGACGCCCUGGCGAUGUACGCGGGCCUCGUCUGGGAGACCAGCCGCGACGCUGAGCGCGCCGACGCUUACUACAGCCGCGCCGUCCAGGCCGCGCCCGACGACUGGUCAGUCAGCCAAACAACUCAGCGCGCCACUUCGCUGCUUCCUUGCUUGGCAUGCGUGACAGUUUCUCGCUGUGCUUCUCUUGCAGCUAUGUCCUGGGAUCCUACGCCGGGUUCCUGUGGGACGCCGAGGAGGAAGACGGUCUCAACGACGGGCAGCCUCCGGCGGGGUCGCCGCCGUUCUAUGGGGCAGCGCAGCCAUCCUCCAUCAGAGCGGCUUCUUAGACGAAGAAUCAAUCUCACUACCAGUAAACAAACUACAUCUGGAACUCUGCAAGGAAGAGCGACAUGCCACGAUCACAGCGGCCUCUGAGGGAGGCCGCCACCGCCGUCGCCGGCCGGGACGCGGCAGCUUGUAAACUGAAUAAACCAAGUCCGGCUACCUGUGUGAGCAGUACGCUUCUAAGGUUGGUAGGAUCUGCAGCACUGCAGGAUAAAUAUGUAGCCUAAUAAGGUUUUGCUGUGCCUGUACAUGUAGAAUGUUCCUGAUAACAUGGUGUACGUGGUGUAUGUACCACUUGUGAAUUACAGUAAAUGCCAGAACCGAUUGCCCCAGCAGUUCAGCAGAAGCAGAUCCAUCUUCCAUGUAGGAACAGAACACAAAAUUACACUGAAUGCACCAAGUUCAUAGCAAAAUUGGCACAAAUUUUGCAGUAAAAGAAGAAAAGGGAAAACUCAUGCAGGAAAAAGAAGUCUCGCGGCUUGGAAAUACAAGGUAGUCAUAUGCAAAUGUUACUAACUACAAAUAACACCACUCCCUUGUACUGUUUGAAAAACAACACAAACUGAGAAGAUAAACAGUACAUUGGCUGCUUGCCAUGCUUCAAACUCCAGGUGAUCACACUAAUUCAAGCACAUGAUACCAGCCACAAGUUUACUACCCAAAUGACAAAAAUGCAGACAUGGGAGGCUGAGGCAUGACUCUCAGCUUUCCGAAAGACUGGACUCAAGACUGUUUUCUAU
rnacentral:lncRNA from 1 species